UACGGAGGGUGCAAACGUUGCUCGGAAUCAUUGGGCGUAAAGCGCACGUAGGCGGCCUGAUAAGUCGGGUGUGAAAGCCCUGGGCUCAACCCAGGAAGUGCACUCGAAACUGUCAGGCUUGAAUAUGGAAGAGGGUCGCGGAAUUCCCGGUGUAGAGGUGAAAUUCGUAGAUAUCGGGAGGAACACCAGUGGCGAAGGCGGCGACCUGGGCCAAUAUUGACGCUGAGGUGCGAAAGCGUGGGGAGCAAAACAGG
rnacentral:rRNA from 1 species